rnacentral:rRNA from 1 species
GAAUAUUGGACAAUGGGCGAAAGCCUGAUCCAGCAAUGCCGCGUGAGUGAUGAAGGCCCUAGGGUUGUAAAGCUCUUUUACCCGGGAAGAUAAUGACUGUACCGGGAGAAUAAGCCCCGGCUAACUCCGUGCCAGCAGCCGCGGUAAUACGGAGGGGGCUAGCGUUGUUCGGAAUUACUGGGCGUAAAGCGCACGUAGGCGGCGAUCUAAGUCAGGGGUGAAAGCCCGGGGCUCAACCCCGGAAUUGCCCUUGAGACUGGAUUGCUUGAACACGGGAGAGGUGAGUGGAAUUCCGAGUGUAGAGGUGAAAUUCGUAGAUAUUCGGAAGAACACCAGUGGCGAAGGCGGCUCACUGGACCGUUGUUGACGCUGAGGUGCGAAAGCGUGGGGAGCAAAC